rnacentral:rRNA from 1 species
CCUACGGGUGGCAGCAGUGGGGAAUAUUGGGCAAUGGACGCAAGUCUGACCCAGCAACGCCGCGUGAAGGAAGAAGGCUUUCGGGUUGUAAACUUCUUUUAAGGGGGAAGAGCAGAAGACGGUACCCCUUGAAUAAGCCACGGCUAACUACGUGCCAGCAGCCGCGGUAAUACGUAGGGGGCGAGCGUUAUCCGGAUUUACUGGGUGUAAAGGGAGCGUAGACGGUUCUGCAAGUCUGAAGUGAAAGCCCGUGGCUUAACCGCGGAACGGCUUUGGAAACUGUGGAACUGGAGUGCUGGAGAGGCAAGCGGAAUUCCUAGUGUAGCGGUGAAAUGCGUAGAUAUUAGGAGGAACACCAGUGGCGAAGGCGGCUUGCUGGACAGUAACUGACGUUGAGGCUCGAAAGCGUGGGGAGCAAACAGGAUUAGAUACCCCGGUAGUC